UACAGAGGGUGCGAGCGUUACUCGGAAUUACUGGGCGUAAAGCGCGCGUAGGCGGCUUUGCAAGUCGGGUGUGAAAUCCCCAGGCUUAACCUGGGAACUGCAUUCGAGACUGCAUUGCUAGAGUAUGGGAGAGGGAAGUGGAAUUUCCGGUGUAGCGGUGAAAUGCGUAGAUAUCGGAAGGAACAUCAGUGGCGAAAGCGACUUCCUGGACCAAUACUGACGCUCAUGUGCGAAAGCGUGGGGAGCAAAUGGG
rnacentral:rRNA from 1 species